rnacentral:rRNA from 1 species
GAUGAACGCUGGCGGCGUGCCUAAUACAUGCAAGUCGAGCGAACAGACGAGGAGCUUGCUCCUCUGACGUUAGCGGCGGACGGGUGAGUAACACGUGGAUAACCUACCUAUAAGACUGGGAUAACUUCGGGAAACCGGAGCUAAUACCGGAUAAUAUAUUGAACCGCAUGGUUCAAUAGUGAAAGACGGUUUUGCUGUCACUUAUAGAUGGAUCCGCGCCGCAUUAGCUAGUUGGUAAGGUAACGGCUUACCAAGGCGACGAUGCGUAGCCGACCUGAGAGGGUGAUCGGCCACACUGGAACUGAGACACGGUACAGACUCCUACGGGAGGCAGCAGUAGGGAAUCUUGCGCAAUGGGCGAAAGCCUGACGGAGCAACGCCGCGUGAGUGAUGAAGGGCUUCGGAUCGUAAAACUCUGUUAUUAGGGAAGAACAAAUGUGUAAGUAACUAUGCACGUCUUGACGGUACCUAAUCAGAAAGCCACGGCUAACUACGUG